GUAGGUGGCAAGCGUUGUCCGGGAAUUAUUGGGGCGUAAAGCGCGCGCAGGCGGUUUUUUAAGUCUGAUGUGAAAGCCCACGGGCUCAACCGUGGAGGGUCACUGGAAACUGGAGAACUUGAGUACAGAAGAGGAAAGCGGAAUUCCACGUGUAGCGGUGAAAUGCGUAGAGAUGUGGAGGAACACCAGUGGCGAAGGCGGCUUUCUGGUCUGUAACUGACGCUGAGGCGCGAAAGCGUGGGGAGCAAACAGGAUUAGAUACCCUGGUAGUCCACGCCGUAAACGAUGAGUGCUAAGUGUUAGGGGGUUUCCGCCCCUUAGUGCUGCAGCUAACGCAUUAAGCACUCCGCCUGGGGAGUACGGCCGCAAAGGCUGA
rnacentral:rRNA from 1 species